rnacentral:rRNA from 1 species
AGAGUUUGAUCAUGGCUCAGAUUGAACGCUGGCGGCAGGCCUAACACAUGCAAGUCGAGCGGUUGAGGUAGCUUGCUACCGAUGCAGCGGCGAACGGGUGAGUAAUACAUGGGAAUCUGCCUGGUAGUGGGGGACAACGUUUCGAAAGGAACGCUAAUACCGCAUACGCCCUACGAGGGAAAGGGGGGAUCGCAAGACCUCUCGCUAUCAGAUGAGCCCAUGUCAGAUUAGCUUGUUGGUGAGGUAAAGGCUCACCAAGGCGACGAUCUGUAACUGGUCUGAGAGGAUGAUCAGUCACACUGGAACUGAGACACGGUCCAGACUCCUACGGGAGGCAGCAGUGGGGAAUAUUGGACAAUGGGGGCAACCCUGAUCCAGCCAUGCCGCGUGUGUGAAGAAGGCCUUAGGGUUGUAAAGCACUUUCAGUGGGGAGAAAGGUGAUUCACCUAAUACGUGAGUCAAUUGAUGCUACCCACAGAAGAAGCACCGGCUAACUCCGUGCCAGCAGCCGCGGUAAUUCCAGCUCCAAUAGGAUAUAUCAAAGUUGUUGCAGUUAAAAAGCUCGUAGUUGAAUUUCUGGAAGGUAGAAGUGUUUUUUUAGAGAAGCAAUUUUUUAUGAAAGACGCCGCUUUCCAUUUUGUGGAUUUCUGUUUUGUAUGAGAUAGUUUACUCUAUUUUUAUAUAAAAUACCACUCCGUCACUGAGAGCAAAUUGGAGUGCUCAAAGCAGGCUUUAUUAGCUUUGAACAUUUUAGCUUGGAAUGACAAGAUAUGACUUUUGUUUUAUUUUGUUGGUUAUGAAAUAAAAGUAAUGAUUAACAGGAACAGUUGCGGGGGUACUCGUAUUGAAAGGUCAGAGGUGAAAUUCUUGGAUUCUUUCAAGACGAACGACUGCGAAAGCAUUUACCAAGGAUGUUUUCAUUAAUCAAGAACGAAAGCUCGGGGAUCGAAGAUGAUUAGAUACCAUCGUAGUCCGACGCCAUAAACGAUGCCGACUCGGGAUUAUUUUGUUUGUUUACAUUAAUAAAGGACACAAAGUAGCACCGUAUGAGAAAUCAAAGUCUUUGGGUUCCGGGGGGAGUAUGGUCGCAAGGCUGAAACUUAAAGGAAUUGACGGAAGGGCACGCCAGAGGUGGAGCCUGCGGUUUAAUUUGACUCAACACGGGGAAACUUACCAGGUCCAGACAUGAUGAGGAUUGACAGUUUGAAAGCACUUUCUUGAUUUCAUGGGUGGUGGUGCAUGGCCGUUCUUAGUUGGUGGAGUGAUUUGUCUGGUUGAUUCCGAUAACGAACGAGACGGGGUGAAUUUACUAGUUUGUUAUAUAAUUUACGUUAUAUAAGACUUCUUUAUUCGACAACUUGGUUUUACCAAGAGGAAGCGCCCCGCAAUAACAGGUCUGUGAUGCCCUUAGAUGUUCUGGGCUACACGCGCGCUACAAUGACGAAUUCAACGAGUUUAAAAUUUAUUCCUUAUCCGGAAGGAUGUGGGUAAUCUUUUCAAUAUUCGUCGUGAUGGGGCUAGAUUUUUGCAAUUAUUAAUCUUCAACGAGGAAUCUCUAGUAUGUGCAAGUCAUCAGCUUGCGCAGAAUGCGUCCCUGCCCUUUGUACACACCGCCCGUCGCACCUACCGAUUGGACGAUCCGGCAAGAUGUUUGGAGUUGUUUUGAUUGUAGAGUAAUUUAUGAUGAAAAUGACAAAGCUCUUCAAACCUUAUCGUCUAGAGGAAGGUGAAGUCGUAACAAGG